GGGGUCUUCCCCAGGGUCCCACGUGGCCAUGUUCAUGCUGAAACCCAGGUCAGUCCGACUCCAGGGCAGAGCUCCACAGGACAUGCCACUGACCUCAUUCACAUGUCACACUCUGCAGGGAGGGCCCAGAGCAGGGAGGUUGCGAUCCCCUUGAUAGACGGGAGCCCAGCUCCCGGAGAGGGGGCACGCCCAGGCACCCAAAGCGCACACCAGAGCUGACUCGCCUGAUGCUGACUUCUGUGUCCUUCUGCCUAAACUGCAGGACCCCUCCUGUGACCUGAGAACCUGAUGCCACAUUUACAGAGCAGUCAGGUGGCUCUUUGCAGGAAUCGGGCCCUCCUGGGCCCGAUAUUCACUGCUGCUGGCACCGAGUGGCAGUGGGUUCCUCAGAACCAGUGGUGUGACGCCCAGGGGAGGCGCCACAGCCCCUGCAGCAGCAUGCCCCAGCCCUGGCACCGUGCAGGUGGGUCCUGGUCACCUGAUUGUCCCCCCGAAUCCACUGCUCAGAGAUGCCAGUGCAGAACAAAAGGAAAGAGGAAAACCAUCCAAACCUCGGAGCCACUGGACUCACACCAACACAAAUGGGGGUGGAGCCGGGGAGUGUAGGGGCCCACUAAAGUAGAGGUUCCCUGGUGGCAGAAGGGGGGACAUGCUGGAAUCCUGUGGCUACAGUCAGGAAGCCUGGGUUCUGGCCUUACCUCUGACACUGACCUGCUGCAGCAUCUUUGCAUUCUUGGGCAUAUCGGGGUACAAAUGCCGGGGUACAGAGGAGGGGCGUGCUCAGUGGCAGGUAGCAGAGACCCGGCUAGAGGGCUCUGAGCUCUCAUCCCCAUUUUUGCCAGUUUUGUUCCACUUCUGUCGGAUCAGACAUGGGGAAGAUGGCCUCAGACGCUUGGUCUCAGAUGCUCGUGGUCAGAAUUCUGCAGCUCUGCUCUGCAGAACCAAGCAUAAGAGCCGAGAGGGACAGGCUAAGGACAGGGACAGGCCAAGGACAGGGACAGUCCCUGCAGGAGAAAGGGGAUUCUGAAGGAGCUGGGGGUCAGGGAAAGGGAGAGAAGGCAACAAGGAAGACCUAGGUGUCUACUGCAGGCUGCUGCAGCCUUGCUCACUGACUGGGACGAGCUGAAGCUCCGCGGAGAAGAGCCUGGACGCUGCCCAAGGAAGAGGGGCUUGUGAUGGCCCGGAAUUCCUCUGAUUAUUGUAAGAUGUGCUUUGGUGAUAACGUGCUGCUGACAAGCAGACAUGACCAGCAGAGAGGGCAUCAGCCCAGGAAUGUGGGGUGUCUCCUGGCCGGCUCCAGGCAGCCAUGGGCAGGGUCAGUGCACGGGGCUGGACUCCACGCUGGGAUGAAAUGGUAUGGAUGGUUUGCCUCUGUUGUGGGCAGUUUCCGAAGGCCCAGAGCAGCACAGAAGUUCAAAACCAGCGAUCUCUCCUCCCGAGCCCGUGUGCAAACCUGCUUGCUGAGCGGCCAGGGGUCGGGAAUCUGUUUUCCUUUUCUGCAUCUCUAACGUUCAUUCAGGCUCCCUCUCCGUGAAGACAGCACUGUGUCGGGCUGUCUGAGGCUGUCCGUGGGCCUGUCCUCCCGAAGUGCCCUGCUGCCGGGCCCCAGGCCUCUGCUCUGAGCAGCAUCUGGAGCCUGCGGGCAGUUUGACCCGGUCCCGGGACCUGCCCGUCCUGUGUGAGCACAAAGGGCAUUUUGCCUGCAUUUUACUUCCUUCCUCGUUCCAGGCACUUGGCUGGCCCCGAGCGUGGGGGUGUUGGGAUCCCACUCCACCACUGACCAGGACGUGUGGCCUUGGACCUCCGGCCCUCGGGCCCUCUGGCAAGUUUCUUGUUUCAUCAGAGACUCAGUUUCCCCUCCUGGACACAGACCACCAUGUAUGGACUCUGUCUGGAGAGACCAAAGGAGCGGAGGGCCCGAGCCCCAUCACAGCUGAGCCGAGGCCAGCCUGGCUGGGCCCGGGCGUGGGGGGACCAGGGUGGCAUUCCGGGGCCCCUCUCAGCCCCGGACUGUCGGGACUGUGGCGGGGAUCACGCAGCUGCGGUUUCACACCUGGGUGAUUAUCCCCUCGCUCCCCAGCUCGGCUGUCCACGAGGGGCCAUCCCCAGAGAGGACCAGGGCACAAGGGCCUGAUGUGCCUAAGUGACCGCUUGGCUCCCUACAGCUUCUCCUCUUCCGAGGGGCCCGCGUGGCGAGGCGUCUUCCGGCCGACGCAGUGGCCGGGCCCCGUGGCCUCUGCCGUAGGGCCCAGGGUUUCCUGAUUCACAAGGUUCCUCGAGACUCUCCCUUUCUCCUCUGUCUCUUUAAUGCCCAUCGGGGCUGAAAACCUUGAUGACAACACCCAGCCAUGUUUUUUUCAUUGGCUAACAAUUUGCUAUUCUUCCAGCUGCUAUAAAUUUGCAUCAAUUUCUCUUCACUGGCUCUCACUGGGGCUGGAUCCAUUUAGAGAGAGAGAAAGAAUGGGAAUGAGAAUGAGAAUUCUUUUUUACUUGAAAAUGGCACAGACCUCAGUGUAAGAACCAUAGCAGAAAUGUUGCUUUAAUCAUCCCUAAUCCCAUCACUCCAGCAAAUCGCUGUUUCUAAUCUUCCUGUCCAGCGCCUGCCACAGACGUUCCUGGAACAGCUGCAAUCAGAAGGGCUCUGCAGCCCGCAGGUCCCCUCGUGUCCUCAGCUGGGCCUCACGGUGCUGCACGGCCGUCCGGCCGCCCGAGGGGUCGUUUUUAACGGCUCACUCGGCUGGGGCUUCUGGAGCCGACUCGCCAUCCCGGGGCGUGGCCGUCCCCCCCUGACCUGUGAGAGCCCAGCUGAGCUGGGAGACAGGCGCGUAGGCUACCUCUGCAGUGUGUCCACGCUGUGGAGCUCGCUGGCGUUAAAAUGCCCCCUUGGAAGGCGCACCACUUUCCCGGGCCCGGGGCUCUCCUCCAAGCCUCAUGUGGCAACACAUGCCUUUAACUUCCAAAGAGCCGCGAGUUCAGAUGCCCUGCACGCAUGUUCCUCUGUCCGCAGCCAGAGGUCGCUCCUCUCCUGGCUUUUUUCAUCAUCUUCCACUCUCAUCAUCGUCUUACCAGGAGCUGCCCUGUGCUGAGAGAGUUUGCCUUGUGCCAGGCGCUGUGUUCUCUUGUACCAUUUUGUGUUUAAUUCCAUUGAUCACUACUGUUCUCGUUCUCAGUUACAGAAACCCAGGCCCGGAUGCCGGAGUGGAGUGGCCUGUCGGAUGUCUCAUGGCUCUCGGGUGUCAGAGGCUGGUGGUCUUGCCCAGCCCCACAGCCCUGGGAGCCGCCUCUCCGGGGCAUCAGUUUUCACCACGGAGACCUCUCUCUGGGCGAAGGCGGCCUCCCCCACCCACAGUAACCUGGGCAGGACAAAGGAUGCCUGGCUAAGAUGGAAGCCCAGAGGCCACGUGUCCUUUGCAAAGAUCCAGGCCCGGGCUUGUCAUCCAAGGUCACAGGGCAUUUAUGGAAACUUUCUAUGCCAGAAAAUGGGGAUAACUGGGGGGAUAAAACGGACAGACUCCCUCUUUAUGGAUCUUCUACUGUGGUGGGGACAAUAAACCUGUGAAGAAGAGGUUUCCUGAGUGUCCAUGGUGCAGAGGAGACAAACCGAGCUGUUGCAGGGACUGCGAGUGGAGGGAGUUGCCAGGAACAGCCCUUCUGAGG